GGGUAGUGGAUGCAUGGAAUAGCCUUCCAGCUGAGGUGGUAGAGGUUAACACAGUGAAGGAGUUAAAGCAUGCGUGGGAUAGGCAUAAGGCUGUCCUAACUAUAAGAUAAGACUAGGGACUAAUGAAAGCAUUUCGAAAAUUGGGCAGAGUAGAUGGGCCGAAUGGUUCUUAUCUGCCGUCACCUUCUAUGUUUCUGUUUCACUGUUU
rnacentral:lncRNA from 1 species